CUAGAUACAUUGAAAGUUAGCCCUAUGCAGGUAUAAUUCCACAGUAAGAAUCUGCAUAUAUUGUGCCAAACACGAAGACAGGUCUGUGAAGAGUGGACUGCAGGAAGAAGGACAAUGUAAUAAUGAACCAUAGGAUUCCCAACCAACUGCAGUAUAGAUUGAUAUAAAAUCCUUAACAGCAAGCACCAACGUUGAAGAGUUUUUGAUACCCUGUAACUGAAUUCAGCACCCAUCCUCCA
rnacentral:lncRNA from 1 species